CUGGUUCCUCUCUAGGUUUCUAAUCUCCACCCCUCAUAGCCUGGUUCCUCUCUAGGUUUCUAAUCUCCACCCCUCAUAGCCUGGUUCCUCUCUAGGUUUCUAAUCUCCACCCCUCAUAGCCACGUCCCUCUCUAGGUUUAAAAUCUCCACCCCUCAUAGCCUGGUUCCUCUCUCGGUUUAUAAUCUCCACCCCUCAUAGCCUGGUUCCUCUCUAGGUUUAUAAUCUCCACCCCUCAUAGCCUGGUUCCUCUCUAGGUUUAUAAUCUCCACCCCUCAUAGCCUGGUUCCUCUCUAGGUUUAUAAUCUCCACCCCUCAUAGCCUGGUUCCUCUCUAGGUUUAUAAUCUCCACCCCUCAUAGCCUGGUUCCUCUCUAGGUUUAUAAUCUCCACCCCUCAUAGCCUGGUUCCUCUCUAGGUUUAUAAUCUCCACCCCUCAUAGCCUGGUUCCUCUCUAUGUUUCUAAUCUCCAC